rnacentral:tRNA from 1 species
AGUAAGAUAAGCUAAUAGUAAGCUCCUGGGCCCAUACCCCCGGCAUGUUGGUGCAAUUCCAUCUUUUACUG